CUUUGCCUCUCUAGUGCCACCAUGAGGUUGACAUUUGUGGUUUUACGUGAAAUUUCUCAACAACUAUUGGACAAAUUGUAAUAUGGUUCAGACAUUCAUGUCCCCCUCAGGAUGAAUUAAAACUUUGAUCCCAUAAAAGAGAGAGUUCAAAAUCAAAAAUCGAUGCAGCAGAACCAGAUAUCUUUUUUUAUUCGAUGCAUUCUUCUUCCUUGGUCAAAACCCGGUGGCUACAUUACCCACAAUGCAACUCGACCAGACUACAGAGGUCUGGUAAUCUCACUUCUUUCUAAGGCCACACUUUCAGAUUUUCUUCAUUUUCAAACUUGCAGUCUUCAGACUCAUCCGAUGCUGACUCAAGUGACAUCACAUCACAUAUUAAAUAGUACUCCCCAAGACCUGUAAACAGACACUGAUGUGUAAAAUCGGUGGAGUUCCCCUUUAACUUUACAUCGAGUGUUGUCAUCAGGUCAACGGUGAGUUUUACCCAGAAUUUGGUUCAUGACUAAAUUUUUGUGCAACACAUGACAUUUCCAUUAGUCUCAGCUGUACUUUGUGUUUAGCCUACACGGUGCCUAGGUUAGACCCAAUAUAUUUAAAAUGGACUUCUUUUAGGCAAAAUUAAUUGAUAAAUAUUCAAUAUUGUAAGACAUAAUAUGGUGAAUUAAUGGCUUGGAAACAGGCUUUUGGAAAAUAAAAUCUACAGGGAAUACUUGACCUCACUGUUAUAAAACGGCUAGUCCCCUGACAGCAUCUUUAUGUGUCCUCAUGACAGCAAUACAGUAAACAAAAAAAAAGGAGCACAAACUAAGCACUUAUUUCUGACAAAAUAAAACAAUGAAAACUUAUAUAUGUAUUAAGUAUGAAAUAAGCAUAACAACCUUGGGGAAAUCUCUGAACUCUCCUCAGGUCAACUUCUUUGAUGAUUCAGGAAAUUGCCUACUGCACAACGUGAUGUCACUGUUACGCAUUAUACUUUAGCAGUGCUUGAUAUGCCCUACUGCAUAGACAACAGCAGGGAGAGAGACAGACAACAGCUGUUGGACUUCAGCUUCAGUGAGAUGAAGAGUUUCUAAGCGUAAAAGAAGAGAAAACCGUCUGUAAUCAUUGACCGACAAACAUCAGCGGAUUUCUCUGGUUUGUUAUUGGAAGCGACUUCAGCCUCCACAGCCACGAGGCAAAGAAAAGAAAGAGACACGUGGACCAGCCGAGCCUCUGCCAAUUGUCCUUUACCACAGGAGCCAUGAUGGCAGCAGUUCUCAAGCUGUAUUUUAUUGGAACGGCGCUGAGUGUCCUUGCAGUCUUGUAUGGAAUAGUGGACUCCUUUGGUGGUCUGAUGUACGUCCAGGACCAGUACUACAUUUUGGAGCCUGACCACCAGACGCAGAGGCAGGUCUCCUCAAGCAACCACAGGAGAGGGUCGUCUCUGACUAAAAACAUCGGCUCAUAAGGGAAACAUCUUCAUCAGUUUACCAAAAAUGGAAACUGGAUUGAUGUUGGAUACUGUGGCAAUGGAUCAACAGACUUUAUAAUAACUGGAGACAAUAAUUGUACUGGUUCCAUUGCUGACGUCAUUGUAAUGUCUAACUUGUUGGACGUGUUCUGCACUUUGAAAAAGCUCAGCACUAGAUGGUUUGUAGAUUUGGAUGCAUAAUCCCACAGCAUGUCUCCGCUUUGUAUCUGCUGUCGAACACUGUAGCAGCUGGCCUGUGUUAAAGCAACUACAACUCUGACGACAAAUGUAACCGCACUACUGAACAAUGAUUUGCACUAGAAAAAGUUUGGUCUUUUGUCUAUAUCUGUAUUUUGAGUUUUGUUAUUUUUAAUAAAAGUAAAAAAAAAAAACUGUA